GCAUUAUGUCUGAAAAACAACGUUCAUACCAUAAUUUAAAAUACUUUAUUGCUAGAAAAUGCCAACCAUCAGUGAGCAAAUGCUGUUGGAAAAAUGGUGCCGAUAGACUUGCUCGAUGCAGGGUUGCAACAAACCUUCAAUUUGUAAAACAUGCAAUAUCUGCGAAGCACGAUACGAAACCCAAUAAAACAAGGUAUGCCUGUAUUAGAAAUGGAUGCUGAAUUUCACCAAAUUCCCUUUCAACAUUUAUUGAAAUAAUCCAGUGUCCUUCCUAUUAUACCCAAGCUGCCACGCUCUCUAACAAAUGGAUUUCUUACUUUUUCCCUUUCUGUUUUCUUUCUUUCACCAAUUCAUUUUCACUCUCUUUAUUUCCUCCUCAGCAGCUUCUGCCACUAAGCCUUCCUGAGGAUCCUGUGUUCCUGCAUUGCCUGUGGUGGUAGAAACUUAGAGCCUGCUAAUCCCUGGAUUCAAGAAAGAUUUAGAAAGUCUUAACUUGACAAUACAAGGGGGCAAAACAAAGUUAAGAUAUGAAAUGCAAACAAGAAGGAAUAGGUAUAAGUAAAUGGUUCUUGGUAGAUGCCUUUCUCUGGAACAAAGGAGAUGGUUCUGGCUUCCUUCCAUUUCUCUCUAGCUUGGUGCCAAGGCAGAAAUGCACCCUUUCCCCAGGCCUGUGGCACAUUCUGAAAUUCUUCAUGUCCGCU